rnacentral:lncRNA from 1 species
AUAAAAUCUCUGAUUUACUGAAAAAUUUUUUUCUGUUUCUAGGUUAUAGAUUUUUGGGAGCCUGGAAGUUUGUAUCCUAGCAAUGAUUGGCUGAGUAUCAUCUGGGAUGAGAAGAAUGAAUGGCUCCUGUAAUGCUGCAC